GCCCGGCUAGCUCAGUCGGUAGAGCAUGAUACUCUCAAUGUCAUGGGUUCGAGCCCCACGUUGGGCG